UCCAGACUCCUACGGGAGGCAGCAGUGAGGAAUAUUGGUCAAUGGGCGAGAGCCUGAACCAGCCAAGUCGCGUGAGGGACGACGGCCCUACGGGUUGUAAACCUCUUUUGCCGGGGGACAAACGGCGGCACGCGUGCCGUCCUGAGGGUACCCGGAGAAAAAGCAUCGGCUAACUCCGUGCCAGCAGCCGCGGUAAUACGGAGGAUGCGAGCGUUAUCCGGAUUUAUUGGGUUUAAAGGGUGCGUAGGCGGGAUGCCAAGUCAGCGGUAAAAUACGGGGGCUCAACCUGCGUCCGCCGUUGAAACUGGGUGCCUUGAGUGGGCGAGAAGUACGCGGAAUGCGUGGUGUAGCGGUGAGAUGCAUAGAUAUCACGCAGAACUCCGAUUGCGAAGGCAGCGUACCGGCGCCCAACUGACGCUGAAGCACGAAGGCGUGGGUAUCGAACAGGAUUAGAUACCCCCGUA
rnacentral:rRNA from 1 species